AAACAAGUUUGCAUUUUAACAGCAGUUUUUAAAAUAGAUGUGUUAAAAUGCAUAGUUUUUUUCGGAUUAGUUUCGUAAUUGUAAUUGAUAUGCUAAAUAAGCUUUUCUUUUUUAACAGAAAAAGACACCAGCAAGCCAAAGUCAUGACAGGAAGGACAGAAAAAUGCGCAAGCUGAGAAAAUUCAUAAAACGACUGAUACUUAACUUAUAAGAAGCUUAUAUGAACGAGUUUUUAUAACCACAUGAAGGAACGAGCUAUGUCCACAGAAUGGAGUGUUAUGUCCACAGAACAGACCGCGGAUAAUGCAUGCACAGAUCGGAAUGUUUUGCGCAAACCGUGAAAACCCUGAGACGAAGCAUCGCACGAGGCAACGCCUUAUUCGAAAAUGCGCCAUUUGAAAUGCGCAAACUUUCGUUUCGACCCAUAAGAAUUCAUCACGACAGAAAGAGACUAUAGUAAGAAAUCUAGAACGCAUCGAACUAGCGCAGGAACGCAAAAAUGCACCGAAGAAAUAAACUUAUUUAACCGAUGAACUUAUGGAACAGACCCUAUAUUUUUAUUUGUAUAUAGAUAUAGUUUAAAUUGUGAUUAUUAGGAUUGCAUACUGUAAUUAUUUGAAACACAAGUGGACAUCUGAAAAUACGCAUUCGCAAGAAGAUCAAUAAAUUAUAAUUUGAAAAUUA